rnacentral:lncRNA from 1 species
CCACCCUCCAGCGGGCACAAGAAAGAGGCAGGUAAGGGGAGGCCGUCCAAAAACGCCGGGUGUCAGGCCAGGGUGGCUAAUGGACGGCGGCUUUUCUGGUGAGAUGAAAUGGGACGGCAAAACCCACUUCAUCCCCUUUGGGCUAUGACAACAUCAUAGUCCAAACUCCCAUUUUAUAAAGAAGGAAACUGAGGCUCACUGACUAGACAGACGUUGCCCAGAGUCAUGCAUGGAGGAAGCUUGUGCUGGAAUGGUGGCGAGGACACCAGAGCCCAGCUCCCAAUGCAAGGCUCUUUCAUUCCUUUAGCCACCCCCGCCCCCGCCAAAACAAACAAAACACUGUCAUUCGCACAUGACCACGGACUCUGCGCGCCGGCCGCAGGCGGAGGACGGGGAGGAGCGCGCACGAGGAAGCUCCCACGCGCCCGCGGCUCGCCUCCGACGGGAAGGCGCCUCUUCCGACCGUCCUGGAUGCAAAUUAAAUACUUCCCUCCGCAGAAGACUUAUCUCGGGGCAUUCCUCAGGCCUUAUCUCUCUGGUUCUGUCUGCUACAUAUGACACCUUGCGAUGGCUCUCACCUUCUGGAAUCUCUCUACUACCUUGGUUUCAGGAGAGUGAACCCUCUCAAUUAUCACAUGAAGCCUCCCCAGGUGCUUCCUGUGUCCUGUCUCUAAAUGUUGCUGUUCCCCAGGGCUUAACCUAGGACCCAUUCCUGUGUCUACACAAGAUGAAGAAACGGAAGAAACUUUACAUAUAUUAUCUCAUUUAAUCUUUGUAACAAUUCUAGGAAGGAGGUACUAUUACUAUUUCUGCUUACAGAUGAAAUUGAGGAAAGCUUAAAAAUCCCAUUUUACAGAAUGGAAAAAGAUAUGUUCAAUAACUCACCCAAAAGCACAGCCAGGAUUCAAACCCAGACACGUUGCUCCAGAGCCAAACUCUUGACCAGUAUAACCAAAUGAAGCCAGAGUGAUUCACCACCUCACAUCCAAACUCUGGAUUAUCUGUUUAAGCACCCAGGCUUCCACCUCCUCAUGAGCCGGGACCUUCCUCAGCCACGUCUGGAUCCUCAGCCCCUCACAGCACACAGCGGUAGUCAGAAAGUAUGCUGAGUAAGUGGAGAACAAGAUAGCAUGGAUUUUCACAACCACGAUGUCAGACUAGCAAUGGAAUUGUUUUGAUUCUCCUUUUAUAGAGAAGAAAAAUGAGAUUCACAACUUCACACGAGGGAGUGUCUUGUCUAACAAUCUCUGACUGAGUUCAGCCCUUGUUUGUAUUCCCUCUGCUGCUUCCACAAAAGGGUAGAAGUCACAUGUUUAGAUUAUGAAGACCUUACCUUAAGAAAUGGCAAAACAAGCAAACAAAACAAACACAGAACUCAUUGCCUUUCCUAGAAAAACUGUCCACUAAAAGUACUUUGAGGCUAGGCACAGUGGCUCCUGCCUGUAAUUUCAGCACUCUGGGAGGCCGAGGAGGGUGGAUCACCCGCCUGGCCAACAUGGCGAAACCGAUCCCUUCUAAACAUACAAAAAUUAGCCAGGUGUGGUGGCAUGCGCCUGUAAUACCAGCUACCUGGGAGGCCGAGGCAGGGGAAUUGCUUGAACCUGGGAGGUGGAGGUUGCAGUGAGCCGAAAUCGUGCCACUGCACUCCAGCCUGGGCAACAGAGGGAGACUUUGUCUCAAAAAAAGAAAAUAAAGUACUUUGAUUAUGA